CUCUCAGAAGAUGGGACCGGGAGAAGAGGAGGGUCAGGGCCUCAGUUCGCCCCCCAGCUGUAGCUGUUGUAGGCAGAUUUGUUGGUCUGGGGCUUCUGCGGGAUGGAGCUGGUCUGGCUACGUUGCCCGCUGCCCGUCUGCAGGGAAUGGGACGAUGAGGAGGAAAAAGGGGUCUAGUUAGUGGGACAAAUCUGUGACAUCUUCAGGUGGAGCUCUGCAGACGUGUCGUGCUCUCCCCUUCUCCCUGCUUAGAAACUACUCCCAAGUUGACUUCCCAACCCCAGACACCCCCGGUGUGUACAGCUGCUAGAGCCCCUGUGACAGGUCAAACAGCAUUUUCAACCUUUCAGCAGGGCAGCAGCGUAAAGAUGGCGGGAUACCUCCUGAAGACGAGACAGUGAAUGAGCUCUACCCACGUCCAAUACCACCCUCUCCCCCCACCCCACCUCCACUGCUCUGAGAAAAGGCUACUCUCUCAAAGAGAAUGAUGGCUUCUUGGAGAGGAGUGAUCAUACGGUGAUUUCAUUGACCCCAAGAAUACCUGAAUUGGGGAAGCUGUCUUUGAGAGCCAGGAAGCCCUUAUCCCAGCUCCCCAGCCACCUAUGACGGAGGAGAGGCCACCUGCACUACCGCCACAGCUCCCCACCCCUGCCACACAGCAGCGCGGAGAGCCCACUGCAGGCAAGGCACCGCAUCCACAAAUUUGACAGAAGAAACAGCAGGGGGGAAAGCUACACUGUCUGUUGCCUGCUCUCAGAUCGUCCCAGAUCAGAGCAGCGCCAACCACCCUCUACCUGAAGUCGUAGCAACCGAGCUCCGAGUUGAGGCUGUGACGGUGGAGUUGCUGCUGAGCCCGAGGCCCAAGCUGCUGCCGCUGCUCAGACUGGAGGAGACACUGGCCACGGG